UACGAAGGGGGCUAGCGUUGCUCGGAAUUACUGGGCGUAAAGCGUGCGCAGGCGGUUCGUUAAGUCAGCUGUGAAAGCCCCGGGCUCAACCUGGGAAUGGCAGUUGAAACUGGCGAGCUGGAGUGUGGCAGAGGGGGGUGGAAUUCCACGUGUAGCAGUGAAAUGCGUAGAGAUGUGGAGGAACACCGAUGGCGAAGGCAGCCCCCUGGGCCAACACUGACGCUCAGGCACGAAAGCGUGGGGAGCAAACAGG
rnacentral:rRNA from 1 species